UUUCCUCUCUGCCCCAUAGGGUGUAGCUCUAACUACCCUCUAGGGAAGAGAAGGUUGGG
ensembl:miRNA